UCCUACGGGAGGCAGCAGUAGGGAAUAUUGCACAAUGGGGGAAACCCUGAUGCAGCGACGCCGCGUGAGUGAAGAGGUAUUUCGGUAUGUAAAGCUCUAUCAGCAGGAAAGAUAAUGACGGUACCUGACUAAGAAGCACCGGCUAAAUACGUGCCAGCAGCCGCGGUAAUACGUAUGGUGCAAGCGUUAUCCGGAUUUACUGGGUG
rnacentral:rRNA from 1 species